ensembl:lncRNA
AACGACUACAAAGAGACACAAAGUGACUACAAAGAGACACAAAAUAACUACAAAGAGACGCAGUUACCACAGAGAGUCUAAACCACUUUGAGUCUCUGCAUCUCUCUCCUCUGGCCAUUACAAAGUCUUAUGAUUCUCCCGUGGUAACGUCCGCUCCACCUUCCGCUUCAUCCGUCUCUCCACAUCUUUAUGUCUACAAAUCUUCUGUGGUGGUGUUUGUUUUGUAAUGGAGGUCACGAGAUGAUCAUUAAUUCACUAAACUGAACUAUCUGUUCUCCCAUAUUGCACCUGGAACUUCUGAUCUACUGUCUUAAUAAAUUGAAUCCUCAUUAUGAAGUGUGUCGACACUCGUGUUAGUUAAUUAAUGUUCUAUUUAAACAGACUUAGUGGGAUCAACAUGAGGAGCUUGUUGUGUAGUAAAACAGUUUAUAUCCGUCUUCCUCUUCACUCACACAGACCAUUUGUUCUGCUGAUGUGCAUUUCAAUGACUAUCUGAAGGUAAAUGUGAUGGACGUGUGUUUGAUCCAAUCAGACGCUGCUGAGAGAAAGGGGCGGAGCUCUGGAGGUCCGACGGCAGCUGGAGGCGGAGCUACAGGUGCUACGAGCCAAUCACAGGACCUCCUCACCCCUCCUCCCUCGCUGGUCGGUGUCUCUCCACUGGCUCUUCAGGCCCCGCCCCAGCCCCCUCAGGCUCCCCCCCUGCAGGUGCAGGUGCAGCAGCUGUCGAAGGAGAAGCAGAGCGUGGAGGCGGAGCUGCAUCGCUGUCAGGAGGCGGAGCGAGAGGCCAGUGAAAGAGUCCACAGGUUGGAGCGUCUGGUGGAGGUUUUGAGGAAGAAGGUCGGGACAGGAAGUGUCCGAGCCGUCAGCUGAUCUUCAGAUGUUUCUUUAGUAAAAUUAUGAUUAUUUCUGUGUAUUUCUUUUCUCUUUAUUCUAAAUAAAUCUUUACAGCCUUAAAGUUCAUGAAAACAUGAAACAUUUGAAGUGAUUUUCUAAUGUUUUUGUCAUAUUUUGCACUAAAUAUGAAGUUUAUGAUUGAGUGCUUUCUUUUUUUCUUCAUUUGGUGUUGACAUGAAAUAAA